AUUGAACGCUGGCGGCAUGCCUUACACAUGCAAGUCGAACGGUAACAGGUUAAGCUGACGAGUGGCGAACGGGUGAGUAAUGUAUCGGAACGUGCCCAGGCGUGGGGGAGAACUACUCGAAAGAGUGGCUAAUACCGCAUACGUCCUGAGGGUGAAAGCGGGGGACCGUACGGCCUGCCGCGAGUGGAGCGGGCGAUAUAAGAUUAGCUAGUUGGGGGGGUAAAAGCCCACCAAGGCGACGAUCUGGAGCUGGUUUGAGAGGACGACCAGCCACACUGGGACUGAGACACGGCCUAGACUCCUACGGGAGGCAGCAGUGGGGAAUUUUGGACAAUGGACGCAAGUCUGAUCCAGCCAUGCCGCGUGCGGGAAGAAGGCCUUCGGGUUGUAAACCGCUUUUGUCAGGGAAGAAACGAGUUUCUCUAAUACAGAGACUUAAUGACGGUACCUGAAGAAUAAGCACCGGCUAACUACGUGCCAGCAGCCGCCGUAACAC
rnacentral:rRNA from 1 species